UAGUCAAACUGCUAGCUUAAACAACCCGAUAAGACAAAACUAGAAAUAAAAGAACACAACAAAAGACAAACAAACAAACCAUUUUUCAACCAUAGUAUGGGAGAUAGAAAAGGAAAAAUACGCUAUAACAAAAGUACCGCAAGGGACUGCUGAAAGAGAAGUGAAAAAUCUUUUAAACAAGAAAAAGAAGAGACCCAACCUCGUACCUUUUGCAUCAUGGCUUAACCAGUUCAUCUAAGCAAAUAGAAUUUUAGUUUAUAACCCCGAAACCUGGCGAGCUACCCUGAGACUGUUAAAAGAACUAAUCCGUAUCUGUGGCAAAAGAGUGGAAGGAUCUCUGGGUAGAGGUGAAAAGCCUACCGAGACAGGUUAUAGCUGGUUGCUUGAAAAAAGAGUGUAAGCUCCCCCCAUUUGUUCUCCCACUACCCCUAGAGCUCGGAGAAAAAACCAAGGAAGAUAAUAGAGGUACAGCUCUAUUAAUAAAGGAAACAGCCUAAAAAGGAGGUUAAAGACUAUAAUAUUGAAAGAACCUGCGUUUAAGUGGGCUUAAUAGCAGCCACCAAAAUAAAAGCGUUAAAGCUUAUUCGCUCUCAACCUUCAGAUUCCAGUACCCACUUUUAAACCCCUUUAAAACAUCAAGCUACUCUAGAAACUAGAAAAAAUAAUGUUAAGAUGAGUAAUAAGAAGGACAGACCUUCUCUUAGCACACCCUUGAGCCGGAAACGAACCCCCACCGGACAUUAACGGCCCCACAAAGGAAUUGAGUAAUAUUUCAAGAGUUUACUCUUAACCUACCGUCCAACCCACACUGGUGUGCAUAAAAAGAAAGAAUCAAAGAAAAAGAAGGAACUCGGCAAACUAAGCCUCGCCUGUUUACCAAAAACACCACCUCUUGCAGACCAAGUAUAAGAGGCCCCGCCUGCCCGGUGACAUUUGUUCAACGGCCGCGGUAUUUUGACCGUGCGAAGGUAGCGUAAUCACUUGUCCUUUAAAUGAAGACCUGUAUGAAUGGCAUCACGAGGGCUUAACUGUCUCCUUUUUCUAUUCAAAGAAAUUUAUCCCCCCGUGCAGAAGCGGGGAUCUAAACAUAAGACGAGAAGACCCUGUGGAGCUUUAAGUAUUACUAGACCCGAUAAUAAAUCCAAAAAGGCUAAAAAUUAGGGAACCUAUUAUAAUACUUUUGGUUGGGGCGACCAUGGAGAAAAAACCAACCUCCAAGAAACUACUUAUUAGUUUAAGCCGAGAGGGUGACUUCUAAGCACUAGAACCUCUAACUAAAGACCCGGCAAUGCCGAUCAACAGACCCAGUUACCCCAGGGAUAACAGCGCAAUCUUCUUUAAGAGCCCAUAUCGACAAGAAGGUUUACGACCUCGAUGUUGGAUCAGGACAACCUAAUGGUGCAGCCGCUGUUAAAGGUUCGUUUGUUCAACGAUUAAAGUCCUACGUGAUCUGAGUUCAGACCGGAGUAAUCCAGGUCAGUUUCUAUCUAUGAAAAGAUUCCUUUUCAGUACGAAAGGACCAAAAGGAAGAAGCCUAUGUUCUAAACACGCUUCAUCUUUGACCUCUGAAGCAAACUAAAGAGAGCUAAAGAACUAUAAACCCUGCUCCUAGAAAAGGAGUU
rnacentral:rRNA from 1 species